rnacentral:rRNA from 1 species
AAUGAACGCUGGCGGCAGGCCUAAAACAUGCAAGUCGAACGGUAACAGGUCUUCGGAUGCUGACGAGUGGCGCACGGGUGAGUAACACGUGGGAAUAUGCCUUUUGGUACGGAACAACAGUUGGAAACGACUGCUAAUACCGUAUGGUCCCUUCGGGGUAAAGAUUUAUCGCCAAAAGAUUAGCCCGCGUUGGAUUAGCUAGUUGGUAGGGUAAUGGCCUACCAAGGCUACGAUCUAUAGCUGGUCUGAGAGGAUGAUCAGCCACACUGGAACUGAGACACGGUCCAGACUCCUACGGGAGGCAGCAGUUAGGAAUAUUGGACAAUGGCCGCAAGCCUGAUCCAGCCAUGCCGCGUGAGUGAUGAAGGCCUUCGGGUUGUAAAGCUCUUUAGCCGACGAAUAUAAUGACUGUAGUCGGAAAAUAAGCCCCGGCUAACUUCGUGCCAGCAGCCGCCGUAA